rnacentral:rRNA from 1 species
AUGAACAUAUGUCGAUCCACUGCUAACUGCAGAAAUCGCUUUGGCUUUGCAGGGAUUCCCUUUGCUGGAGAGAAACGUCCAACCACCAACAUUUCAAUAUCUACACUACUGUGCUAUAUCUGUACUACUACUGUUCCAGCCCUUAUCUGCUGCUGCCUAGUUUUACUGGCACAGUGGCACUGCAAGGAGGAGUUCUUGUUGGACUUGAAACGAUCUAAAGUUGGUUCUGGCCGAAAAGAUUACCCGUCAUGGUGGUAUAGUUCAUCGAUCCAUCUAGUGAUUAUUCACAACGUCCAAAUCCAAGUCAAACAGAUCAGAGCUAGUGUCGCUGCCCCAGCCAUGGUCAUCACCAUCUUCAGCUUUCUCCACUUGAUGGCCAUCACCUAA